CGCCCUAAACGAUGUCAACUAGCUGUUGGGGCCUUUCGGGCCCUUGGUAGCGCAGCUAACGCGUGAAGUUGACCGCCUGGGGAGUACGGUCGCAAGAUUAAAACUCAAAGGAAUUGACGGGGACCCGCACAAGCGGUGGAUGAUGUGGAUUAAUUCGAUGCAACGCGAAAAACCUUACCUACCCUUGACAUGUCUGGAAUGCCGAAGAGAUUUGGCAGUGCUCGCAAGAGAACCGGAACACAGGUGCUGCAUGGCUGUCGUCAGCUCGUGUCGUGAGAUGUUGGGUUAAGUCCCGCAACGAGCGCAACCCUUGUCAUUAGUUGCUACGAAAGGGCACUCUAAUGAGACUGCCGGUGACAAACCGGAGGAAGGUGGGGAUGACGUCAAGUCCUCAUGGCCCUUAUGGGUAGGGCUUCACACGUCAUACAAUGGUCGGGACAGAGGGUCGCCAACCCGCGAGGGGGAGCCAAUCCCAGAAACCCGAUCGUAGUCCGGAUCGCAGUCUGCAACUCGACUGCGUGAAGUCGGAAUCGCUAGUAAUCGCGGAUCAGCAUGUCGCGGUGAAUACGUUCCCGGGUCUUGUACACACCGCCCGUCACACCAUGGGAGUGGGUUUUACCAGAAGUAGUUAGCCUAACCGCAAGGG
rnacentral:rRNA from 1 species